rnacentral:rRNA from 1 species
GAUCCUGGCUCAGGAUGAACGCUGGCGGCGUGCUUAACACAUCAAGUCGAACGUGCGAUCCGGACGUAGCAAUACGACCGGAAAGCAAGUGGCGGACGGGUGAGUAACGCGUGAGCAACCUGCCUGUAUGAGGGGGAUAACACUUGGAAACGGGUGCUAAUACCGCAUGACGUAUGAUUGCCGCAUGACAGACAUACCAAAGAAGCGAUUCGCAUACAGAUGGGCUCGCGUCCGAUUAGGCAGUUGGUGGGGUAACGGCCUACCAAACCGACGAUCGGUAGCCGGACUGAGAGGUUGAACGGCCACAUUGGAAUUGAGAUACGGUCCAGACUCCUACGGGAGGCAGCAGUGGGGAAUAUUGGGCAAUGGGCGAAAGCCUGACCCAGCGACGCCGCGUGAGGAAGAAGGUCUUCGGAUUGUAACCUUUUUAUUCGGGAAGAAGAAAGUGACGGUACCGAAAGAAUAAGCCACGGCUAACUACGUGCCAGCCGCUGC